GUGGAUAUAGCUCAGUUGAUAGAGUGCUUGCCUUGUAUGCACAAGGCCCUGGGUUCAAUACCCAGCGUGUGUA
rnacentral:tRNA from 1 species